rnacentral:lncRNA from 1 species
AUGCCUCAAGUCGUGGUCUGUCUUUUCUCCCCAGUGAAGGCGACACGAGAGGCAGCGUGGAACACGGAUUGGAGUCGAGCAAGAAACUGGAGCCUCGGAGGAUUACAGGCCCUCGUAGCAACCGAGAAUGAGCGACACGAAGUAGAGGGCGGCAGUCCUGCUGAAUUUUCCCAUCACUUGGGGGGCAGCCGCUCAGAGCAGAGGACGGAGGCAGAAGAGGGUGUUUCAUUGACCCUUCGCAUUGCCGUCUGGAGUGAGGUCGUCUUUCCCUCUUGUGCUUGGCAUCUGGAACCAGCUUGUACACGGUUUGAGGAAGAUGAGAGACGGCUCUGGCACCAGCAGUAGUACCAUGAGGCCCUGCGCUGGUUAAAGCCAUCGCCGGGACCUGGGCAGCAGCAAGGUAAGCAGAGCGGCCAGUCCAGGCGGCUCCUGGGGCGUGAGUGCAUUUCCGCCUCAGCGGCCGCCGGAAAACCCCAAGUGCACAGACAAGUCAAGGCAGUGCCUCUGGGUCCUCCCCGCGCCCCAGGACCCAGGCGAAGGGCUUGCUCCCCUCCAGGUGCGCCCGCUCGCUCCCUCCCGGCGGCCGGGACUCUUCAAGUUACAAAAACUGAGGCCCUGGGGGGAGCAAGACAAAUCCACUCGCUGUCCUUUCCCGUCUCCCCCUGGGCUGCUGAAGCCGGUUCCCGGGGGCAGCCCGGAGCCCUUGCUUGACGGGCAGAGAGGCAGGAGGAGUGGAAUGUCUGCGGAGACCCAGGGAGCGAAAGACUGUGCUGCACCCUGCAAGCCUCCCAACGGAGGGAGGGAGGGAGGGAGGAGGGAGAUGGGGGGAGCAGGGGAGGAAGG